UGAAUACGAGAUGCUACGGCGUCGAAGCAGUCUAUGUCAUACUUCCAAGAAAAGCUCGCACUGUCAUAAACAAAUAAUGCCUGUACCAUAACCGACACAGGUGGGUAGGUAGAGUAUACUAAGGGGCGCGAGAUAACUCUCUCUAAGGAACUCGGCAAAAUGACUCCGUAACUUCGGGAGAAGGAGUGCCUUAUUUAUAAGGUUGCAAUAACAAGAUCCAAGCAACUGUUUAUCAAAAACACAGGUCUCCGCUAAGUCGUAAGACGAUGUAUGGGGGCUGACGCCUGCCCAGUGCCAGAAGGUUAAAGAAGUUGGUUAGCAUUCGCGAAGCUGAUAACUGAAGCCCUGGUGAACGGCGGCCGUAACGAUAACGGUCCUAAGGUAGCGAAAUUCCUUGUCGGGUAAGUUCCGACCCGCACGAAAGGCGUAAUGAUUUGGAUACUGUCUCGGAGAGGGGCUCGGUGAAAUAGACUUGUCUGUGAAGAUGCGGACUACCUGCACCAGGACAGAAAGACCCUAUGAAGCUUUACUGUAACUUGAGAUUGAAAUUGGACUUUACUUGCGCAGUAUAGGUGGGAGGCGUUGAUAAUAUUCUUGCGGGAUUAUUUGAGCCAUCAGUGAGAUACCACUCUUGUAAUGUUAGAUUUCUAACUUUGUAUCAUUAUCUGGUCAAAGGACAGUUUCAGGCGGGCAGUUUGACUGGGGCGGUCGCCUCCUAAACGGUAACGGAGGCGCACAAAGGUUUCCUCUGAACGGGUAGAAAUCGUAUCUAGAGUGUAAAGGCAUAAGGAAGCUUGACUGUGAGACCUACAAGUCGAGCAGGGACGAAAGUCGGUCUUAGUGAUCUGACGGUGCUGAGUGGAAAGGCCGUCACUCAACGGAUAAAAGUUACUCUAAGGAUAACAGGCUGAUCUCCCCCAAGAGUUCACAUCGACGGGGAGGUUUGGCACCUCGAUGUCGGCUCAUCGCAUCCUGGGGCGGUAGUACGUCCCAAGGGUUGGGCUGUUCGCCCAUGAAAGCGGUACGCGAGCUGGGUUCAGAACGUCGUGAGACAGUUCGGUCCAUAUCCGGUGUAGGCGUUAGAAUAUUGAGAGGAGCCUUCUUUAGUACGAGAGGACCGAGAAGGACAUACCUCUGGUGUACCAGUUAUCGUGCCAACGGUAAACGCUGGGUAGCUAUGUAUGGAGUGGAUAACCGCUGAAAGCAUCUAAGUGGGAAGCCCACCUCAAGAUAAG
rnacentral:rRNA from 1 species